AUUCCGUCCAGUGGUUGUGAUUACACGACUGCUAAGGAAUGUGAGUAAAUGAAAAAUAAAGCUGCACUGAUCUUGUGAUAAUGCUGAUAAAAAGGGCCAGUCAAGGAUCCAGGAUCAUAAAUAGCCUCUACAUCGCUUGUCCUCUGAAGAAGACUCACACAUCAUGCUUGAACUGUCAGCAUCAAUGAGAAUCAUUGUAAAGGUGGUCAUGCUUCUGACUGGACUCUGUUUCUUGGGCAUUUAUCAAUGGAAAGACAUAUCUGAAAAUGUCACUGUGGACACCAAAACUCUCGACCAUAUUAUUGAUUUCUUUGAGCAGAACUUUAACAGGCUUCAGAGAGCCGAUGAUGGCCAUCAGUACACAUCAAUGUGCCAAAGCAUCUGUGUCAACCGGACUUCCAUCGUGCACAGAAUGAAUUCCUGACUUAGGAGAAUGCCACAAAUAUAAAAAAUGCUAUUACUGAUGAAGGCAAGGCGCAAAUUAUACCCCUGAAAAAGUGGAGAAGAUUAAGCACACAGCAAAC